GAUGAACGCUGGCGGCGUGCUUAACACAUGCAAGUCGAACGAAGAGCUUAAGUGGAUCCCUUCGGGGUGAAGCUUAAGUGACUUAGUGGCGGACGGGUGAGUAACGCGUGGGUAACCUGCCUCAUACAGGGGGAUAACAGUUGGAAACGACUGCUAACACCGCAUAAAACAGUAGUGCCGCAUGACACAACUGUCAAAUAUUAUAGGUAUGAGAUGGGCCCGCGUCUGAUUAGCUAGUUGGUGGGGUAAUGGCCUACCAAGGCGACGAUCAGUAGCCGGCUUGAGAGAGUGACCGGCCACAUUGGGACUGAGACACGGCCCAAACUCCUACGGGAGGCAGCAGUGGGGAAUAUUGCACAAUGGGCGAAAGCCUGAUGCAGCGACGCCGCGUGAGUGAAGAAGUAUUUCGGUAUGUAAAGCUCUAUCAGCAGGGAAGAUAAUGACAGUACCUGACUAAGAAGCCCCGGCUAACUACGUGCCAGCAGCCGCAGUAA
rnacentral:rRNA from 1 species